rnacentral:rRNA from 1 species
CUUGCUAAGUUUGAUGGCGACCGGCGCACGGGUGAGUAACACGUAUCCAACCUGCCGAUGACUCGGGGAUAGCCUUUCGAAAGAAAGAUUAAUAUCCGAUAGUAUAUUAAAACCGCAUGGUUUUACUAUUAAAGAAUUUCGGUUAUCGAUGGGGAUGCGUUCCAUUAGUUUGUUGGCGGGGUAACGGCCCACCAAGACUACGAUGGAUAGGGGUUCUGAGAGGAAGGUCCCCCACAUUGGAACUGAGACACGGUCCAA